rnacentral:rRNA from 1 species
AUGGUCCUUCUCCGAUACGGUGUUUCCUUCCUCAUUGAGCAGCCCCUCCCUCCCAACGCCAGCGCCAACCUUCUUGAGCUCGACGCCCAUGUCGCUCUCUGGAUCUAUGCCACUCUAGCCGAUCCCCUCGUCGACCACGUCGUCGGGGCCACCACCACCUUCACCUUAUGGACGAAGAUCCAUGAUUUCUUCCUCGCAAAUCGCGCGGCUCGCUACAUGAUCCUCAACCGCCAAUACCGCAAUCUCAAACAAGGUGAUCUCUCCGUCACCGAAUAUGCUCGCCACAUGAAGCUUCUCACAGACGGCCUGGCGGACAUCGAUAACGCGGUCACAGAAGUGGAUCUCACCACCCAGUUUCUUCACAGCCUCGACAAACAUCUGGACACGAUCCGGGUUGUUCUUGGCGAUCAGGCUUCCUCCAUGCUGUUCUACACCGUGCUCUCCCGUGUCGUCUUAGCCGAGGAGUACAUGGAACAGCGGGCGGCCGAAGAGAGCGCCUCGGCGUUCGCCCUCUCCGGUGGCGGCUCCUCUGGCGCUGGGGGCUCUUCCGGUGGUGCUGGCCGUGGUGACCGCUCCUCUGACCGCGGUGACCGUUCCGCGGGCCUUGAGUGCCAACCGCAGUCGUCCCACACCAACCCUGGCCGUGGCGGUGACCGUGGUGGCGACGGUGGUGAUCGUGGACGCGGCCGUGGCCGUGGGCGGGGGCGGGGGCGCGGACACGGCGACCCUCGUGGCCCGGCUUCUACACCGACACCGGCCCCCUUCACUGGCUACUUCACCCCCUACGGCAUGGCUCUCCCGCAUCCACGCUCUAGCUGGGUGCCGCCCAAUGCCGCCGGCAUGCUCGGGCCGCGCCUCGGUUCCCAUGCGCAGGCCUACCUUUCUUCCUUCUACACGGCCUUCACCCCACCUAUGACCAUCUACGCGUAUUUGGCUGCCUCUGCUUUCCCAACACAUCUGCAACCAUGCCCCACAAACUCUCCCCUCGCUCCAUAUUCUGCAUUUUCUUGGGUUAUCCUCUAG